CUGUAAAUAGUAUCAGCUGAAAUUUACUAAGUAGAAUUUAAUUAUAUUUUAUGAGUAAGGUCAACAGUAUCAACAAAAAAAAAAUCUAAAAAGUAAAUUCUAACUAAUGGGAACUCUUUGGAUUUAAUCGCUGCGCAAUUCCGCCCCAGAAAUUGCGCCUCACAAACGUAGAAGUCUGCUACUGCCAGUUGACUGCGAAGCUGAAUUUGGCUGCCAUUCAUUCAAGAUCUUGAGGAACAAAAGACAAAUGUUAUUCAAAUAGUUCAGGACCUCACUGUAUGUACAAAAAUCAAGGGUGAGUUUCACAGAAUCACAAUGGUGCACCUGGAAUCAAAGUUCAUGUCCAAUCUGGACGAAUACUCCCCUAGGCUUCUGAACCUUUUCCACGGGUGCCAUGGGAUUAAGGUUGCAGAUUGUCCUACUGAAGGCUCCUAGCAAUGCUUCCAUUGACUUAACCAGAGAAACUGUCAUCAGGUGUCUGAUGUUGUAUCUUGGCGAAUCUGCCGAUCAGCUCUUUAGAGAGUAUGAUGAUGAAGAUGAAGACAGUGUGGCACAGGACCUUGCUCUACAAGUGAUGAAGGUCUACAGCAGUAUAUCCGUAUUGUGAUAGAUGGAACAAAGGUCCUGACUGAUCUGGGCUGGUUUCCAAGGGCUUGUGCCAUGCUCGUGGGUUUGACUUAUGCAUUGAAUUUUGCAUACCCCAAAGAGCUCAGGUACACUUUUGAGGCCUUUCAGAAACUUUUCCUCGAGCUAAACUGGUCAAAGCUUUCCCCAAAAGUGAACAGCCUCAAGAGCAAGCUACUGGCUAAAGAAAAGGACCCCUAAAUACACUGGAGGCCCUCCAUAUAUUGUGCUGCAACUAAGCCUUCAAGUCUUGCUCAGAAAUUUUUUUAUCCACACUGAUUUGAAAUGAUGUGAUGUUAUACAUUGGACAGUGAGAGUUGUGUUUUGAAAACACAGAGGUUCUUCAGGAUUAGACUAUUAGCACUUUCCUGGUUAGGAUAUAUGGAUACUAGUGACACAACAAAGUCCACUUUCACAGAGGCCAAACCAGACACUCCUCUUGUUUUUUGUGAUUCUUCUGGUUGUUUUUCAUCAACUUGCAUUUCUAAUAUAAGAUGGACAAUAUUUUUGCUGAAUUUUCAUUUCUGUUUUGUGCAGCUGGUGGUUGUGAGCGCUGGUCUAAUUCAAUCUAUGCAAUUUGCCUGCCUCAAAUAGUAAGAACCUUCAUUUGCCUCUAGACGUAUUUUAGUACUCUGUUUGCAGGCUUCAAAGUACCUGCCGUUAUGUAAAGACAAUUUUAAAAUAUACUUCGGUUUUAUCUGAUGAACUAUUUUGAUGUUUCAUAGAUUGUAGGUGUUUAAUCUCAAAUGUCUGUGACAUGAGUUUCACUGCUGCAGUUAAUGUUCAGGUGUGUUCAGAAAAACCCAAAUUUUUUGUACUUAUUUAGGGGCUUGCUGUUGUGAUUCUGUUGUGUACAGCAGGAAUAUAUGUUGCAUGUUUUAAUAGAUUAAUCUUAAAUUUGCACUAAUGAUUUAUUUGAGCACCACUUUGGUUGGUGAACAACCAAACCAAAUGAAAUUCUUUUCUUACAGGAUUCCUCGUUAGUUCUUUGAAUUUUUGGCAUUUACACAAAAAUGUUUUUGAAAAAGGAAAGCGUGUAUGUAAACAAUGUUGUACAAAUAAAUGCUUGUCGUUUUUCUA